AGAAGACAUAACAUGAACCUUGUCAUGCCCUAGUUCUUUCCUCAAAAUAUAUGUUAAAUCUUUUCCUGCUGCUGUAAAACAAACAUCUCCUACCAUAAAUCUAAAAUUAUGAAUUACUGUUAAAGAAUUUAAAUAUACAUUAUACUACAAUUAUUAAUAACAUUUAUAUCCUAUUUGAUCAGAAUGGUUACCUCGAAAAGAAUUUAUUACUUGAUGUAUAUAUGUGAACAUUUGCAUUGUAUAUACAGUUCAUACGUCUCAUAUAUGUUAAACGAUUUAUGACCACUUUGUAUAAAUAAAUCAUAAGCAAGAUUCGUGGAUGCUGCAACCAUAUAGCUAACUCUAAGUUAUUUUCAAUAGACAUAUACCGUUUUAAGAACGUGUCUUUUUUCAUUUCCAAAGCUUUCACUACAGUAUAUAAAGAUUCAGUUGGUAUUUUAAAGUUUUGGAAAAUUUGUAAUAAUUCUUUUACUUCAUUUGCAUUACGAAGCAGGAGUCGGGGAUACAUUCUUAUUAUUUCAAUUAUAUUUUUAUCAUUUAUUUUUACGUAUUUAAAUUCAUUUAAAAAUUGUUCAACGUUGUCAACAUCCACAUUUAAAAGGUAUUCGUGUUGUUUUAAGAAUUCUAUUCUUCAAGAUUUUAGGGUUGAGUACUAAGCAUUCUUGCAAAUAUUUGUUCUUCUUUAAUCUUACAUUAAAAUUCUAGUAAAACAGGA
rnacentral:misc_RNA from 1 species